CCUACGGGUGGCAGCAGUCGGGAAUAUUGCGCAAUGGAGGAAACUCUGACGCAGUGACGCCGCGUAUAGGAAGAAGGUUUUCGGAUUGUAAACUAUUGUCGUUAGGGAAGAUAAAAGACUGUACCUAAGGAGGAAGCCCCGGCUAACUAUGUGCCAGCAGCCGCGGUAAUACAUAGGGGGCAAGCGUUAUCCGGAAUUAUUGGGUUUAAAGGGUGCGUAGGCGGAUCGUUAAGUCAGUGGUAAAAUUGAGGGGCUCAACCCCUUCCCGCCAUUGAAACUGGCGUUCUUGAGUGGAAGAGAAGUAGGCGGAAUGCGUGGUGUAGCGGUGAAAUGCAUAGAUAUCACGCAGAACCCCGAGUGCGAAGGCAGCAUGCCGGCUUCCGACUGACGCUGAAGCACGAAAGCGUGGGGAUCGAACAGGAUUAGAUACCCUGGUAGUC
rnacentral:rRNA from 1 species